UACAGAGGGUGCGAGCGUUGUCCGGAAUCACUGGGCGUAAAGGGCGCGUAGGUGGCGCUCCAAGUCCGUGGUGAAAGCUCGAUGCUCAACAUCGAGUCGGCCACGGAGACUGGAGGGCUCGAGCACUGUAGGGGCAGAUGGAAUUCCGGGUGUAGCGGUGGAAUGCGUAGAGAUCCGGCGGAACACCGGUGGUGAAGGCGGUCUCCUGGGCCGAGGGCCGACGCUGAGGCGCGAGAGCGUGGGGAGCGAACCGG
rnacentral:rRNA from 1 species